UACGAAGGGGGGCGAGCGUUAAUCGGAAUUACUGGGCGUAAAGCGUGCGCAGGCGGUUUUGUAAGUCAGAUGUGAAAUCCCCGGGCUCAACCUGGGAACUGCGUUUGAAACUACAAGGCUAGAGUGUAGCAGAGGGGGGUAGAAUUCCACGUGUAGCAGUGAAAUGCGUAGAGAUGUGGAGGAAUACCAAUGGCGAAGGCAGCCCCCUGGGUUAACACUGACGCUCAUGCACGAAAGCGUGGGGAGCAAACAGG
rnacentral:rRNA from 1 species